rnacentral:misc_RNA from 1 species
GAUGAAGAACGUAGUGAAAUGCGAUAAGUAGUGUGAAUUGCAGAAUUCAGUGAAUCAUCGAAUCUUUGAACGCACAUUGCGCCCGCCAGUAUUCUGGCGGGCAUGCCUGUUCGAGCGUCAUUUCAACCCUCAAGCUCAGCUUGGUGUUGGGACUCGCGGUAACCCGCGUUCCCCAAAUCGAUUGGCGGUCACGUCGAGCUUCCAUAGCGUAGUAAUCAUACACCUCGUUACUGGUAAUCGUCGCGGCCACGCCGUAAAACCCCAACUUCUGAAUGUUGACCUCGGAUCAGGUAGGAAUACCCGCUGAACUUAAGCAUAUCAAUAAGCGGAGGA